AAACGGGUCAAAAGGAGGCAAGGGAACGGACGCAAAAAGGUUGUACGGGUCACGGAGGAUCAUCAAGGAAUAAAGAUCGAGGACCGAGUCACAUGAAGGAUUGUACGGGGUUGUCUAAGGAUGUAAUUUGUUAUACAUAAGUUAUGAUUUAUUCUAUAAUUCAGUCAGUUUGAUGUAUUCAAUAUAAAAGAGUUAUCUUAAAAGUGAACUUUCAAGUAAGACAUAAGGUUUAUAAUGAAA